ACUCAAAUGAAUAGACGGGGGCCCGCACAAGCGGUGGAGCAUGUGGUUUAAUUCGACGCAACGCGAAGAACCUUACCUACUUUUGACAUCCCAGGAAUCUUUUCGAGAGGAGAGAGUGCCGCAAGGAGCCUGGAGACAGAUGCUGCAUGGCUGUCGUCAGCUCGUGUCGUGAGAUGUUGGGUUAAGUCCCGUAACGAGCGCAACCCUUGUCCUUAGUUGCUACAGGUAAAGCUGAGAACUCUAAGGAGACUGCUGGUGAUAAACCGGAGGAAGGUGGGGAUGACGUCAAGUCCUCAUGGCUCUUAAGAGUAGGGCUACACACGUGCUACAAUGGGUGGUACAAAGGGAAGCGAAGCAGUGAUGUGGAGCGAAUCCCACUAAAGCCACUCGUAGUCCGGAUUGAAGUCUGGAACUCGACUUCAUGAAGUUGGAAUCGCUAGUAAUCGUGAAUCAGAACGUCACGGUGAAUACGUUCCCGGGCCUUGUACACACCGCCCGU
rnacentral:rRNA from 1 species